UUCUGCGUUUUUGUUUCAACACACAAAAAAUAAAUAUAAACACAAACAUUUAAUAAAAGGAGAUGAUGUCUUCAAUCCCAGAUGUGAUAGAGAAGUUGAGAUUCUGACUCUGCGCGGUUCAAUUUUUUAUACUUUCGUCACUAGAUUAUCACAAUAUUGAACUUCUGGAGAAGAAAUGAAAAUAAUUAAAAGCAAUUAAAAAUUAAAGCUCAUGCAACUCUAUAAAGCAAAAAAACAUAAAACAAUAUAAAACACUAUUUAAAAUAGAAAAAAUAUAACAAAAUAGAAAAAUAA